GCAUCUUAUUUGUGUUUCAGUUGGUAGAACAUGAGGGUUGUGGGUUCGAUUCCCACGUUGGGCG